rnacentral:rRNA from 1 species
UAAAGGCCUACCAAGGCGACGAUCUGUAGCGGGUCUGAGAGGAUGAUCCGCCACACUGGGACUGAGACACGGCCCAGACUCCUACGGGAGGCAGCAGUGGGGAAUAUUGGACAAUGGGGGGAACCCUGAUCCAGCCAUGCCGCGUGUGUGAAGAAGGCCUUUUGGUUGUAAAGCACUUUAAGCGAGGAGGAGGCUACUAGUACUAAUACUACUGGAUAGUGGACGUUACUCGCAGAAUAAGCACCGGCUAACUCUGUGCCAGCAGCCGCGGUAAU